UGGAAGUACCAAACUUGGAAGAUUUUGGAGGAAACCACCAAGGCUUCCUCCUCGAUUGUCACCUGAUGAAAAGGGUACUAAUAAUAAAACUAUCAAUGAAUUAGUGAGGCUAAAUGCUGAUCCAAUAUGGAUUGAAAGGCAACAAAAAGUAAAGGAAGCUUUCCUCCAUGCUUGGUCUGGCUACAAAAAGUAUGCAAUGGGAUAUGAUGAACUUAUGCCACUGAGCCAGCGGGGAGUUGAUGGGUUAGGAGGUCUAGGUGCUACUGUUGUGGAUGCUCUUGAUACUGCCAUGAUAAUGGGUGCUAAUGAAGUUGUUUCUGAGGCAGGAUCAUGGAUUGAAACACACCUUUCUGAUAAGAUUAGCAAGAAAGGCCAAGUUAAUUUAUUUGAAACUACCAUUCGUGUCUUGGGUGGUCUUUUAAGUGCAUAUCAUUUAAGCGGAGGGGGACAACAGACUAACUCUAUGCGUGAGGGGCCAAAACCAAUUUUUUAUCUAGAAACUGCUAGAAAGUUAGCUGAUCGUCUGCUAGUGGCUUUUACUUCCAGUCCAACUCCUAUUCCCUUUAGUGAUGUUGUUCUACACGAUCCCUCAGCACAUCGCGCUCCUGAUGGUUUGAGUAGUACUUCAGAAGUCUCAACUUUGCAACUUGAGUUCAAUUAUCUCAGUACAGUUUGUGGUGAUCCAAAGUACAGCAUGGAAGCUAUGAAGGUUUUAGAGCAUAUGAAGAACCUACCAAAGGUAGAAGGGCUGGUUCCUAUCUACAUAAGCCCUGACUCUGGUGAAUUUAGUGGCGAAAAUAUUAGACUGGGAUCUCGUGGUGACAGCUACUAUGAGUACCUAAUUAAAGUAUGGCUUCAGCAGGGAAGCAGUAGAGAUGCAAAUUUUACAUAUCUGCAUGACAUGUAUGAGGAGGCAAUGCAGGGUGUUAGGCACCUACUUGUUCAGACAUCAAUCCCAAAUGGAUUGGUUUUUGUGGGGGAAUUGCCUUAUG
rnacentral:misc_RNA from 1 species